AGUAACGGCCGCCAGUGUGCUGGAAUUCGCCCUUAGUUUGAUCAUGGCUCAGAAUGAACGCUGGCGGCGUGCCUAACACAUGCAAGUCGGAUGUGCCGCAAGGUGCAUGGCAGACGGGUGAGUAACGCGUAGGGAACCUACCUCUUUGUGGGGAAUAACGCUCCGAAAGGAGUGGUAAUACCGCAUGAGACCAAUGGCUGGGAUGCUGUUGGUGAAAGCUGGGGAUCGAAAGACCUAGCGCAAGGAGAGGGUCCUGCGUCUGAUUAGCUAGUUGGAGGGGUAACGGCCCACCAAGGCGACGAUCAGUAGCCGGCCUGAGAGGGUGAUCGGCCACACUGGAACUGAGACACGGUCCAGACUCCUACGGGAGGCAGCAGUGGGGAAUUUUGCGCAAUGGACGAAAGUCUGACGCAGCAACGCCGCGUGGGUGAUGAAGGUCUUCGGAUCGUAAAACCCUGUCGUCAGGGACGAAGGGUUGCAACCUAAUACGUUGUGACUUUGACGGUACCUGGAGAGGAAGCCCCGGCUAACUCUGUGCCAGCAGCCGCGGUAAUACAGAGGGGGCAAGCGUUAUUCGGAAUUAUUGGGCGUAAAGGGCGCGUAGGCGGUUUUGUAAGUGAGAUGUGUAAUCCCCGAGCUUAACUUGGGAACUGCAUCUCAGACUGCAAGGCUAGAGUACUGGAGAGGGUGGUAGAAUUCCACGUGUAGCGGUGAAAUGCGUAGAGAUGUGGAGGAAUACCAGUGGCGAAGGCGGCCACCUGGACAGUAACUGACGCUGAGGCGCGAAAGCGUGGGGAGCAAACAGGAUUAGAUACCCUGGUAGUCCACGCCCUAAACGGUGGGCACUAGGUGUAGGGCUCGUAAGGGUUCUGUGCCGAAGGGAAACCAUUAAGUGCCCCGCCUGGGGAGUACGGCCGCAAGGUUGAAACUUAAAGGAAUUGACGGAAGGGCGAUUCUGCAGAUAUCAUCACACUGGCGG
rnacentral:rRNA from 1 species